rnacentral:piRNA from 1 species
UAGAUUAGUUGAGAAUUUUGACCUUGGUUGC